rnacentral:rRNA from 1 species
UAGGGAAUCUUCCACAAUGGGCGAAAGCCUGAUGGAGCAACGCCGCGUGUGUGAUGAAGGGUUUCGGCUCGUAAAACACUGUUGUAAGAGAAGAAUGACAUUGAGAGUAACUGUUCAAUGUGUGACGGUAUCUUACCAGAAAGGAACGUCUAAAUACGUGGCAG